rnacentral:rRNA from 1 species
UACGUAGGCGGCAAGCGUUGUCCGGAUUUACUGGGCGUAAAGAGCGCGCAGGCGGUCGUUCAAGUCGAGUGUGAAAGCCCCCGGCUCAACUGGGGAGGGUCACUCGAUACUGAUCGACUCGAAGGCAGAAGAGGGAAGCGGAAUUCCCGGUGUAGUGGUGAAAUGCGUAGAUAUCGGGAGGAACACCAGUGGCGAAGGCGGCUUUCUGGUCUGCUCUUGACGCUGAGGCGCGAAAGCUAGGGUAGCAAACGGG